rnacentral:rRNA from 1 species
UACAGAGGUCUCAAGCGUUGUUCGGAUUCAUUGGGCGUAAAGGGUGCGUAGGUGGCGAGGUAAGUUGGAUGUGAAAUCCCGGGGCUCAACCCCGGAACUGCAUUCAAUACUGCCUUGCUGGAGUACUGGAGAGGAGAUUGGAAUUUACGGUGUAGCAGUGAAAUGCGUAGAUAUCGUAAGGAAGACCAGUGGCGAAGGCGGAUCUCUGGACAGUUACUGACACUGAGGCACGAAGGCCAGGGGAGCAAACGG